UACGAAGGGGGCUAGCGUUGCUCGGAAUCACUGGGCGUAAAGCGCGCGUAGGCGGACCUGCAAGUCAGGGGUGAAAUCCUGGAGCUCAACUCCAGAACUGCCUUUGAUACUGAAGAUCUUGAGUUCGGGAGAGGUGAGUGGAACUGCGAGUGUAGAGGUGAAAUUCGUAGAUAUUCGCAAGAACACCAGUGGCGAAGGCGGCUCACUGGCCCGGUACUGACGCUGAGGUGCGGAAAGCGUGGGGAGCAAACAGGG
rnacentral:rRNA from 1 species